AUGGCCGAGGUCGCGGAGCUGGAGGGGGGCGCCCCGCGUCCUCGGAGCCCGUCCGGGGGCUCGGCGCUUCAGGCAGAGAGGCGGGGCGAGCCGGAGGCCGCGGGCCCGAAGGCUCAGCGAGAGGAGGCUAGAGAGGGCCCCGCGGAGGCGCCGGGGGGCGACGGGGCGGGCGCAGCCGCGACGGCCGCGGGGCCCGAGGGAGAAGGCCCGGGGCCGGCCGGAGGGCGAACGGGCGGGCUGGAACCGGGCUCCGGCGGGGGCCCGGGAGCCGAGACGCGGGGCGGGAGCGGGGCGCAGGGCCAGGCCGAGGCAGGGGAGGACGCCCGCGGGGGAGAGGGGCCGACGAGCGGCGCGGAGCCGGAGGAGGAGGCGAGCCCCGGGCCAGGUGUGCAGGGCGAGGAGCCGGGGGAGGCUCAGGGGGGGCGCGGGGACCCCGCUGCCCUGAACGCCAAGGAAGAAGCGGGGAGCGGGCCGAGGGAGCCGGCCGGCAGCGCGCCUGGGGCGUCUGGGGCGCUCGUGGACGCCCCGGAGUCGGUGGGGGAAAGCGUGGUAGCUGAGGGGUCGAUGGGGGCCCGCGUGGACGCCCCGGAGUCGGAGGGGAACAGCGUGGACGCCGAGGGAUCGGUGGGGGCCCGCGUGGACGGCCCGGAGUCGGUGGGGAACAGCGUGGACGCCGAGAGAUCGGUGGGGGCCCGCGUGGACGCCGAGGGGCCGGCGGGGGAGAGCGUGGGAGCCGAGGAUUCGGUGGCGGAUAGCACAGAUGUCGGGGGGCCAGCAGGGGCCAGCACGGAUGUCGGGAUGCCGACGGCAGGAGCGCAGGGCGCGGAGGGUGAGCCCCGGGACGGAGGGGGCCACAGACCCCAGUCCGAGGCAGAGGCGAUUGAGGCCCCAGCGGCGGAGAGCCUGGGGUCCACCCCCGGCGAGCUUGCGCGGGGGCCUCGGGGCUCAGCGGAGGAGACGGGCGACCCGGAGGGAGGGGAGUCGGGGGAAGCGGCCCCAGGGGACGCGAGGGCAGAGGCCGGUGAGGACGCGGACCAGGGUGGGCCCCCGGGGCAGGCGGAGGAGGCCGAAGAGGAGAGGCCGGAGCGGGGUCUCCAGGGGCCAAGCGAGGAGGCCACGGCCGGGGGCGAGGAGGAGGGCACCGCGGCUGGAGAGGCGAUCCGGCCGGCGGAGGUCGGGGAGCCCCAGGCUGACCUGAGCAACCACCUGGCGGACGAGCGCAGCGCUGAACGCGGCGGCGGGACAGUGCCCGAGAACGGCGGCCAGGAGGGCGGCGAGGCGUCCGAGGAGGGGUCCCCGGGGCAGGACCACGACAUCACUCUCUUCGUGAAGGCUGGCUGUGAUGGUGAGAGUAUUGGCAAUUGCCCAUUUUCUCAGCGUCUCUUUAUGAUUCUCUGGCUGAAGGGCGUUAUAUUUAAUGUGACAACAGUGGACUUGAAAAGGAAACCCGCGGACCUGCAGAACUUGGCUCCCGGCACCAACCCACCUUUCAUGACUUUUGACGGCGAAGUCAAGACAGACGUGAAUAAGAUCGAGGAGUUUUUGGAGGAGAAACUGGCUCCCCCAAGGUACCCUAAGCUGGGGACCCAGCACCCUGAAUCUAACUCUGCUGGAAAUGAUGUGUUUGCCAAGUUCUCAGCAUUUAUAAAAAACACCAAGAAGGAUGCAAACGAGAUUUAUGAAAGGAACCUGUUAAAGGCCCUGAAGAAGCUGGAUAGUUAUCUGAACAGCCCCCUGCCUGAUGAGAUAGAUGCCUACAGCACCGAGGAAGCUGCUGUUUCUGGAAGGAAGUUCCUGGAUGGCAAUGAGCUCACGCUGGCCGACUGCAACCUCUUACCCAAGCUCCACAUUAUUAAGAUCGUGGCCAAGAGAUACAGAGAUUUUGAAUUUCCUCCUGAAAUGACUGGCAUCUGGAGGUACUUGAACAAUGCAUAUGCUCGGGAUGAGUUCACAAACACGUGUCCUGCCGACCAGGAGAUUGAACACGCAUAUUCAGAUGUUGCCAAAAGAAUGAAGUAA
rnacentral:lncRNA from 1 species